rnacentral:sRNA from 1 species
UACGCCUUGAGAAAGGCGCGCUGGGCUAAAU